rnacentral:rRNA from 1 species
AAUGAACGCUAGCGGCAGGCCUAAUACAUGCAAGUCGCACGGUGUCUUCGCACAUAGUGGCGCACGGGUGCGUAACACGUAUGCAACCUACCUUACAUUGGGGGAUAGCCUUUCGAAAGGGAGAUUAAUACCGCAUAAGACAGUAACUUGGCAUCAAGUAGCUGUUAAAGAUUUAUCGAUGUAAGCUGGGCAUGCGUCCAAUUAGCUAGUUGGUCAGGUAAUGGCUCACCAAGCCUAUGAUUGGUAGGGGAACUAAGAGGUCAAUCCCCCACACUGGCACUGAGAUACGGGCCAGACUCCCACGGGAGGCAGCAGUACGGAAUAUUGGACAAUGGACCCAAGUCUGAC